rnacentral:lncRNA from 1 species
GCUAACUCUUGGUGUUGUGUGUUUCAUGGGUUUCGACGAAUGUACAAUGACAUAUAUCCACUAUAUUAUGGUACAAAGGAUAGUUUCACUUCCCUGAAACUCCUUCCUUCUCUGCCUGUUCAUCUUUCCCUGGCAACCACUGAUGUUUUUGCUACCUUCAUAGUUUUUUCUUUGAAGGGUUCAGUUUUAUUCUGUGUGUGUGGUUGUCUAGUUUUCCCAACACUAUUUAUUAAAGAGACUCUCCUUUCCUCAUUGAGUAUUCUUGGCUCCCUUGUCAAAUGUUAGUUGAUUGAACAUGCAAGGGUUUAUUUCUGCACUCUUGAUUCUGUUCCAUUGUUCCAUUUCUGGGCUCUUGAUGUGGCUAUUUUGCACUAAUACUGUACUGUUUUGAUUACCAUAGCUUUGUAAUGUGUUUUGAAAUCAGGAAGUGUGAUGCCUCCAAGAUCACUUUGGCUAUUCAAGGUCUUUUGUGGGUUCAUGAGUUUUAGGAUUUUUUUCUAUGUCUGUGAAAAAUGCCAUUGGAAUUUUGAUAGAGAUGGCAUUAACUCUAUAGGUGGCUUUGGGUAGUAUGGGCAUUUUAACAAUAUUACUUCUUCCAAUCCAUGAACAUGGGAUUUUUUCCAUUUAUUUGUAUUGUGUUAAAUUCUUUCAUCAGUGUCAUACUUGUCAGUGUAUAGAUCUUUCACCUCCUUGGUGAUUAUCCCUAAGUAUUUUACUGUUUAUGCUGCACGUAAAUGGGUUUGUCUUCUUUAUUUCUUUUUCAGAUAGUUCGUUGUUAGUGUAUAGAAAUGCAAGUGAGUUUUGUAAGUUGAUUUUGUAUCCUCUAACUUUAUUGAAUUUGUUUUAUUAGUUCUAACAGAUUUUUGGUGGAGUCUUUAAGGUUUUAUAUAUCUGCAAACAGAAGCAAUUUUACUUUUCCCAACAAAUUGGACCACCUAGAAGAAAUGGGUAAAUUCCUAGAUGUUUAAGCUACCAAGACUGAAUCACGAAGAAAUAGAAAACCUAAACAGACCAAUAAUGAGGAGAUUGAAUCAGUAAUGAAUAAUGUCCCAACAAAGAAAACCCAGGACCAGAUGGCUUCAUAGUGAAUUCUACCAAACAUUAAAGAAGAAGUGAUGCCAAUUCUUUUUAAACUCUUCCAAAAUAUUGAAGAGGAGAGAAGCUCCCCAAUACUCCCAAACUCAUUUCACAAGGCCAGCAUUACCCUGAUACCAAAGCCAGAUGGGGACACUGCAGGAAAAGAAAACUACAGACAUCAUCCUUGAUGAAUACAGAUGAAAAAUUCUCAACCAAAUACUAGAAAACUGAAAGCAACAGCACACUAAAAUGAUCAAUCAAACACCCUAAUCAAGUGGUACUUAUCCCUGGAAUACAAGAAUGGUUCAACAUACACAACUCAAUAAAUGUGAUGCACCACAUUGAUAAACUGAAAGAUAAAAAUCAUAUAAUCAUCUCAACAGAUGCAGAAAAACGUUUAACAAAAUUUGACAUCAUUUCAUGAUAAACAAAGUAGGUAUAGAAGGAACAUACCUCAACUUAAUCAAAGACCAUGUUUGACCAUACCACAGCUAACAUCAUACUAAAUGAUGCAAGGUUGAAAAUUUUCUUCUAAGCUUAAGAACACGGGAAUGUCUGCUCUCACCACUGCCAUUCAGCAUCAUAUAAAAGGUCCUAGCUAGAGCAAUUAGGCAAGAAAAAAUAAAAGGCUUCCAAAAUUGGAAAGGAAGAGGUUUGAGUCUUUAUAUGUAAGGUGGGUUUCUUAUCAUUGGGUCUUGUUUUUUGAGCCAUUCUGACAAUCUCUAUCUUUUAAUUGGUGAAUAUCCCAGAUUUGGAUAGUCUGCUCUGUUUUCAAUUUCAGUCUUUUUUUUUCCUCUUUACUUGUGUGUUUUGAACGUUUCUAUUGAUUUACCCUCAAGCUCAGCGAUUCUUUCUUCUGCUGUAUCUGGUCUCUAAUACGCACAUCAAAGGCAUUUUUCCGUUUUGUUAGUGUUUUUGAUCUCUAGCAUCUCCUUUUGAAUCUUUCUUAGGACUUACAUCUCUCCGUUUUCAUGGCUCAUCUGCUCGUGCAUGCUGUCUCCUCUACCCAUUAGUGCCCUUAGCAUGCCAAUCAUCAUUGCUUUAAAUUCCCAGUCUGAUAAUUCCAACCUCCCUGCCAUAACUGAGUCUGGUUCUGAUGCUCCCUCUGUCUUUUCAAAGUGGGUUUUUUUUUUUGGCUUUUUGUAUGUCUUGAGAUUUUUUCGCGAUGGCCAGAUGUGAUGUCCUGGGUUAAAGGAGCUGCUGCAGACAGGCCUAUGGUAAAGUAGUGGUGACGUGUAGUCCUAGGACCAGGUCUCUCUCUCUCUCUCUUUUUGGCUUUUUUAGGGCCACACCUGUGGCCUAUGGAGGCUUCCAGGCUAGGGAUUGGAUUGGAGCUGCAACUGCCAGCCUACCCCUCAACCACAGCAACUUGGGAUUUGAGCCGCGUCUGCCACCUAUACCACGGCUCAUGGUGACACCAGAUCUCUGACCCACCAAGGGAGGCCAGGGAUCAAACCUGCAUCCUUACGGAUCCUGGUUGGAUUCGUUUCCCCUGAGCCAUGACGGGAACUCUGUAGGUCUCGUUUUUUUAUGAGCCUGUGCCUCUUGACCACGCACUUCACGAGUGACUCUCGCUUUCCUCCCCCUCCAGGAGGGCGGGGGCGGGGGGGGCCAGCAUGGGGAGAAGUCUGGUGUUUUCCUCCCCAGCACAGGCGCAGGCUAACUAGUUUCUCGCUGGGGCAAACCACUCGUGCUUUGCAAAAUGCUAUCUUUCCCCUCCCCAGGAGCACAGGAAGGUUUUGCCCCAGCGUUCCCCGAGAGGACGGGAUUGAGCUCCUGGAGGAAUAACGCACAAAGGCAUGGGGCCCCCACUGACUGGAUCCCCCUGCAGGUUUUAGCUCUCAGACUUGUCUGCCCUGAGCCCCCAGCAAUUCCCCCGCCAGGGCUCUGGCUUUUCUCCUCAGGCAGGUCUCUGUGGACCUUCCUCCUGGUAGGUUUCUGCCUGGUAAGUUGUGAGGCUCCGUGUCUGCCUGCUGGUCUCUCCAGCUUGGGGAGCCGUGGUUUUCCCUGUAACCUCACUGCUCUGAUGGAGCCAAGAAUUGUUCAUUCUUCAGUUUUUACUUCUGGUUAGGACAGAGUUAUAACUUCCAAGCUCCUACAUGCUGGAGUGGAAACUGGAACUCCAACACGCCUUUCUAUUUCAACUUUUUUUCCUACGGUAAGUAUGUGUCAUGUCUAUAACGAGACUAUUAUUUUCAGCGUUAAACUUAAAGGGGCGGGUUCUACCUUUGACUCAGUACUUAGGCUUUUGAGCAAAGGGAGACAAGCUUUAUAAGCAAAGAUGCUCAUGGUGAUAAUACAGACUCCUCUGGAAAGAGCGUAAUCAUCUAAUAGGAGGAGAAUGCCUAUAUAAGCUAUGCUGUAACAGAUUGAUGGCAUGCGAAUGUGAAAAGGAGGUUUAAAAAGAGUUUUAAAGCAACACGAAAAGGCGUGACCUGAGCUUGUAAAUUCAAGCAGUGUUUCAAAAGUUUUAUAGAUUCCAAAUUUUCCAUAAUGUAAAUACUCGUUAAUUUAUAUUUAGAAAAAGUGUUAUAAAAUGCCACUCUUUGGAAGGCCCUCCUAGUCUUCUGGCCUCCCCCUGGGUCCCCCAGUGGCUGCCUUAUUGUGGCCAGGCCUCCCUGCCUGGAGGUCUCAGCUGGCCUGACACCCUCCCCCCACCCUGUCCUGGGGAGGCAGAGUUCGGUCCACCCCCAGCUGAGCCGUGUGCAGUUGGCAGGAGAUUUUUCGGUCGGGUCCAUCCACUUGGAGGAAAUUGGUUUCCGUGGUUGCUGAGUCUAACCGCCAGGUUCCAUUUCAAGUUCAGCAAAUUUCCUCCUUUCCUGUCACCAGGCUAUCAGCCCAGCUUCUGUCUGAUCCGUGGCUUUUACAUUCUUCCAGCUCGAAGGUGCAGACAGCCACGAGCUGGGUUUUAGAAUGACUGAAAACUCUCGAGGCUCUGGGCCAAGACAAACAGGCUGGUGGAGAACUCAGUCUUGGGGUGCCUUGGACGGCAGGGCCAGGCAUGGCUCUCAGGGCCAGGGCCGGCAGACGGCGGUGCGGUGGCCCCCGGCGAAGGGGAGCAGGUUGUACUGGGCUGGGAAGAGGGCACGGCUGGCCAGACACGCUCUGUCCCCCUGCAGGCAGGUCCCUUCCCACAUGCCUGCCUUGAUGACAGUUUCCCAGUCGGAAGGAAGUCAGUCCAUGAAAGUCACCGCCCCCGACUGCCUUCCUCUGCCCAGAGCAGAAGCGGCCGAACGAGCCCCAUCCCAGGCUGAUCACGGAGCCCUCGAGCUGUCCAUGUGAAAGCUUUCAAACACGAAAAGGAGGCCCGCUGGCCUCUGGCUUGUGUCUUGAGCUUUUGAAUUAGCAAGUCACCGACCAGGCGCAUGUUUCCCACGUGGCUGUUUUGCGUGGCAGGGGCUAGUGCCUUGCAGAUUCAGAAUCCAGAUCACUACCGGAGGACAGUAAGCGUCUGGUGAUCUGGGAAGGAAACCCUUCCAGACUUAAUCGAGGGCCCAUGUGACUCCCUGAGCUACAAAGAGCACAUGCUGCUGCCCUGGGUCCCUUUGGGCGCCCCUGAAAUCAGACCCAGGAGGAUGCAAGUGGUUGGCUUGGGAGGGGUCCAGGUGAGGAGCAGGGGAGGGAGGAAGCUGAUGAUGGCUGGUGAGCAGGACCCUGUGAGGCUUUGGGGUGGUCUGGGAGUUGCUUGCUGUCCCCGGGGAGUCUCAAAAGCUGGGCUGUCUGUUCACUGACUCCCGAUUUCACCACACCACCCCUAAGUCCCUGGUGGUUUAGGGCUGCUCCCCACCCCCCGCCAGGACUAAGCAAGCUCCCACUGCUGGAAGGGCCCAGGCAGAGAUGCAGAGAUGGGGCACCAGGCGGCCAUGUGUGGGGACACCCCUGCUGCGUGGGGAUAGGAGGGGGGGCAUAUGUGUGUCUGUGACACCCCUCUCCCUCAGAAGGCGUGAGACCCUCGUGAUGUGGCUGGCACCUGAAUUCUAGAUGAUUCUUCAACUUAGACUCAAUCCGUCAGCUCGGGAAGGGAGCACUCACUGAGCGUCGCCCAGUGUCCCGGGCCUGGGACUGCGGGGAGCAGAAGAGAGGAGACCUCACUUCCGGAGCUGCCCUGACCGCAACCCACACAUAGCGGUGGACGAAGGUCAGGGACACAGCCAAGGGGGCCUCUGAGUCUCCAUCACAGCAGACCUGGGGACCCCGGGGGCCGCGGCCGUUGGCACGAGAAUGUGGGUGUCCAGGGAAGCUCGGUGACCUGGUCCCAUCACAGGACUGCCGGUCACGUGCAGCAUCCUGCUCACACGGGGCCAGCAGCCGGGUCUCUGCCCAGCUGCCCCCCCCGCCCCAGACUUGGCCCAUGGAGUAAACUCAGGCCUCCCUGCUUCAGCGGUCAGCGCACGGGCGGCGGAGGCUGCUGUUAAGUUAAGAGCACUUUCUGCCGAGUCUGUGUCUGUGGACCUGCUACUUUCUGCAGUUUCUGUAACGAACUAUCACAAAUUGGUGGCUGAAGACAAAGGAAAUGUAGUCUGUCCUGGGUCUGGUGGCCGGAAGUCUGCGAUCGCGGGGUCUGCAGGCAGACUCUCUUCGAAGCCCCAGGGAGAAGCCGUGGCCGGCGACCCUUGGCGUGUGGGUGCAUCAGCCCAGCCCUGGCACUGCCUUCACGCUUCUUCUCUCCCUGGCAUCACCUCCCCUUCUCUUCCUCAGAAGAACGCCUGUCUUUGGCCCUAAGGGAUCUCGUGGGUGGUCUCUGGGGAUCCUUGACCUAACUUCAUCUGCAAAGACCCUUUUGCCAAAUAAAUACCCAUUUACAGGUGACGGGCAGGCCUGCCUCUUGGGGGCCAGCAUUCAAUCCGCCACAGCUUGCUUUGGGGACUGAGAAAUUAAACAAUUACCUUCUACGUUUUCACCGAUUGAUAUUGAAGGUGGUCUCACAGCAGCCUCAGGCGCAGACGCAGAGGCGGCCUGGUGGCGGGGGCAGCCUCGGGGAGCCCUUCCGGAGCUGCCGACACACCUCCAGGAAUCUCGGCCCUUCCCCCACCUCCGAGGUCGCCGCCAGGGCUUUUAACCCCUGCUUUUUCUCCCAGUUGCCAAAGGGCUGGGAAUAGGGCGAAGUAAAAGCAGGGUUUCGAGCCCCAGCCACGGUGUUGGCGGGACCUGUGAGCUUGGGCAAGCGCACCCGCACGCCUCUCAGCACCCCAUUUUUCCCGCCUGACAUGCAGAUAAGCUCUGCUGUCACCCCUCCAUCUACUGUCAGGGAUGCAGGAAGCUCAGGUGUUAAAGGGUUUGGGAAAAGAUAAGGUGCCACAAAGCAUCAUCUAAUUAGAGACCAACUCAGACGUGGCAGCUGACAAAUGGGAAGUUUUAUAUCAAAUAAUUCUUUAAGGAUGAAAUAGGAUAAAAUGUGUGAUAGUAACUGACAUUUUACUGGCGCUUAAGCAAUAUCAGUUAUAGUAAUAAUGUCUUGAAAACUGGGAGUUCCUGUUGUGGCUCAGUGGGUUAAGAACCUGACUAGUAUCCAUGAGACGCAGGUUCGAUCCCUGGCCUCACUCCGUGGGUUAAGGAUCCAGUGUUGCAGUGAGCUGUGCUGUAGGUUGCAGAUGAGGCUCGACCCUGCUGUGGCUGUGGUGUAGCCUGGCGGCUACAGAUCUGACUCAACCCUUAGCCUGGGAACUG